GUGUUUUUAUUUUAAUUGUGUUUCUUAUUCAAUAGAAACAUGGCAAUUGUGAAAUUGUGUUUUUUGACAUUAGCAAAAUAUAAAGAAA